CAAAGAUGGGGCAAUCCCAUUUGAACCCAGCCCCUAGUCUCAAGAUGGUGCAGGUUCAAGUGUCCAAACUGGAGCUGCUGUUCCUACAGUUGUUAAUGCAUCCAAGGAUGUGGGUAUGCUAGAAGACUUGCCAAAUUCAAACUCACCUUUCAAAACCAGCCAGGAAGAGAGCUUUGAAAAUGUUACCAGGACUUCAGCGGCACCACACACGGCUGUCUCUGCUCCUGUUAUUCUGAAUGGGAACCCUCAAGCUUCCAAUCCGUUUGCACAUUGUGCUCCCCUUGCAUCACAAGUCCCUGCUGGUGAUGAUGGGAAGGAAGCCAAGAAACAGAAUACCUGUCUUCCAACUAGGAAGCCUAAUCCCUUUGGUUUGCCCACCUUUCCUAUGAAUUACGGCUUCCCUUCACCCACUGAUUUUCCAUUUAGUGGAGUGCCUGUGGAAAAUGACUCAGCUCUGCGUUCUCCAAAAAGUCAUGCAAUUAAGAGAAGCGACUGCGUCAAUAAUCCCAUGGUUGGCAUGUUUCAUAGGGGUGUUCAAUGCGAUGGAUGUGGUGUUCAUCCAAUUACUGGACCUCGGUACACGUCCAAAGUGUAAGAGAUACAGUUGAACCUUUGAUGUUGUGCCUAUUCUUAUAAAGAUGAUGGCUGUCGGAUUGAUGCUAUUUCCUCGUCUUCUUUUUUUGUGGCAGGAAAGAAGAUUAUGAUCUCUGCAGUCUGAUCUCUGCAGUAUCUGCUUUGCUGCCAUGGGUAAUGAAGCUGAUUACAUAAAGAUGGACAGGCCGAUGUCUUGCCGUAAUUCAAUGAUCCUGUAUGGGGACUUUUUAUCUGUGCUGAAAAUAUUUUGUGUGUUUUCUUAGUUGAUAUAAUCCUGCUUGCUUUUUUCAUUGCUGACUCAUCCUUUUCUAUUUUCCGCUGCCGGCAGACACAGAAAUCUUUGGCCUUCCCACAGCCUCUCUACAAAGGCUCCUGUGGAGUAAAGGGAGGUCAACCUAAGCUAGACAGCCGUUUUGUUUUGGAUGUCAAUGUCUCAGACGGUACUGUGAUGCCUUCAUCUACACCCUUUACCAAGAUAUGGCGAAUGCGCAACAGUGGUAGUGUUGCAUGGCCCCAGGGAGUGCGGCUUGUGUGGAUUGGUGGAGACCAGUUCUUCAGCGCUGAUUCUGUUGAGAUAGAGGUGGGCAUCUUCAGUUUGCUGUUGUUUAGCAUCUGCCUUAGCUUAAACUAUUCGUCUGACCUUUUAUCAUUUUGUGGCUUCAUUAAUCUGUCCAGAUUCCAGUCAAUGGCGUGCCUAUUGAUGGUGAACUUGAUAUUGCAGCUGAUUUUGUAUCUCCUGCUCUGCCUGGUAGAUACAUAUCAUAUUGGAAGAUGGCACACCCAUCAGGUGUGAAAUUUGGACAGCGCAUCUGGGUUCUUAUUGAGGUACUACUGGCAUUAUAGGUGCUCUCAUUCUUCUUUUAAUCUGUUCAGUAGUGUAGUUGUUUUUUGUUUUUCAAAGUAUUUUUUAUUUAUAAAUAUAUUAUAAAAACAUAUUUUUUAAAAAAUUAUAUUUUUGAAAUAUAAAAACAAAUAGUAUCUAGUGUCUCUUUGAUUACAGAACACAGUAGUUAUUCCUUAUUUGAUCUUGCAGGUUGAUGCUUCCCUGAAAGAUCCGUCCUUCAAAGAUCUGAACUUGAAUGAGUCCCCCAAUUGGAGUGGCUCUAAAUGCCAUGAAGAUUUGGAAAGAAUAAGCACUGCCCGAUUGUUGAUCAUUGAAGGAAAGGGUAAAAUUUACCUAGUUUCCUUGUAAUAUUGAUAUUUGUUUUUUACCAAUGAAAAAAAUAAAUUUUAAAUUAGUAAAGGUGAUAUUUUUUCUUCUAAACUAACAUAGCAUAGUUACUCAUUGGUUAUAUGAACUGCGCGAAGUUGCGGGAUAAUUUUUUUUUUGCAUAAAAAAUAUAAAAAAUCUAAGAUCUAAAAGUGUUAGGUCUUUCUGUAAAGUUAUACCUAAGAGUCUUGGGUUUGACUGCAAUGUCUGACCCAAUAGUAAUAUUUAUAAUAUUAAUAAUAACAUUAAACUUGCAUGACCUAAGUUUAAGUGGGUCUGGUGUUGCAAUAGCCUUGGAUGUGAGUCUGGUUGCAAGGUCGUGUCAUAAAAGUAUGAUAAUUAAAUAGAUUAAUUAAAAAAAACAAAGAAAAAAAACCAACAGGGAGAAAAAAAAUAAUGAAGAAAAAGAAAAAAUCUGAAUUAACUGGGUUAACCCGUCAAACUUGGGAUUCGCGUCAUGAAAGUUUGAUAACUAAAUAGAAAAAAAAUUUGACGGGUUAACCCGUCAAGCCCGGGAUACGUGUCAUGAAAAUCUGAUAAUUAAAUAAAAAGAAAUUUAACAUUGACAAACUAAACUAAACGAAAAAAAUUAAUUAAAAAAAAGCAAAAAUUCUGGGUUAACCCGUCAAACUAGGGAUCCGUGUCAUGAAAAUCUAAUAGCUAAAUAAAAAAAAUUAACAUUAACAAACUAAAGUAAACAAAAAAAAUUCAUUAAAAGAAAAAAACACAAAGAAAAAAGUAAAAAAGCCCAAUAAAGAAAAAAAAAACCCAUAAAAGCAAAAAAAAUAAAAAAAAUAAAAAAAGACAGCUUAGAAUAUUUUAGUAUAUAUUAUUAUUAUUAUAUUAUUAUAAUUAUAAUAUAUAAGUACAACGAAAAUGAAAGGAGUGGGGAAAGCUAAAGUACUUUCCCCACACUUUUUAGAGUAUUGUUAAUGUAUUGACGGGACUUGUUAUUUUUUUUUAAACGUGUGUUAUAAAUAUAUUGUAAUAGCCCAGUCCAAUAUGACAUAUAUUGUCUGCUUUGGUCUAUAUGAUUAUGGUUUUGUUUAUAAAUUUGUAAAAAAUAUGAUGUGUUCUAAUUCUUUUAAUUUUUCUUGUAUGUUUUGAUUUUUUGUGUGAACCUAUUUUUUUUCUUCUCUCAUUUGUUUUUUAAAUUUUUAAAUUUAUUUAAUUUUAAUUUCAUUAUUAUGAUUAACUCAUCAAUUGCAAUUAUUUUUAUUCAAGUUAGGUAAAAAUAACUAAUUCUUUGGUAAAAAUCCUUGAAUUGACCAGGAAAGACUGCACUGCUUUGGGCCCAGGAAGCGAAGGGAAUGAGCUCGGCUUCAUCUCCUCCACACUUCUUUUUCUCCGUGCCCGUUCCGCAUGCGCUUCGCACGCCAUUGGCGCUUUGUUCUCCUCUUCGUAUGCUGGCUAUACAGAAUCAAAUCCAAGCCCUCGAAAACCGAAAGAGGGCCCUCCUUCUCGAACAGCAGGAGCUUCUUGUUCAGGCUGCCGCACGUGACCCCCCGAAAGAAACCUCAAUCCGUCACGUAGGGUCUGAUAGUGGACUGACUUCGUCCGACGAGAGUGAAAGCCAAAGAAAAACCUGAGAUAGGAUCUCCCCGGGAAGUGGAAAUCCUUGAGCGUACCGUCAAUUGGGUUAAGAUGUGGCUCGAGCAGCUCUACUAGUACCACACGGUAGCUUGCUUUAAAGCCUGAUGCGCCGGAGCAGUAAGAAGACUAGCUUUCCGUCUUGCCAUUCCAUUCUUUAUGCCGAAAAUGUAUUGUCUUGCACAUAAAAACUUACAAUUUGUUUUUAUCAUUUUCAUUAAAAAAUAAAUAUUAAUCUUGGUUAAAUUUUUUUUUGAAAAGAAUCGUUAAAAAAAUUGAGGAACUAAAUAAAAAAAUAAGGUGGUAAAAAAGAAUAGAAUUUUUUUUUAUGUAAAUUUCACAAUAUAUCUACGGAAUUUUACAGGCCUCCCCUGUGUUAUGAUUAUGUUAGAUUAAAAAUUAUUUUUUUAAUAAAUAUUUGUUUUACUGUAGUAAUAAAAAAAAAACUGAUUAAAGUUUUAUUUACCACCCUCUAAAAGUGUCACAUAACACCCUGACCAUCCUAUACUGUCUUGACAAGUCAUCAUUAAUUACAUCACCAGGAUGUAACCUCAUCAAAACUCUCUUCGAUUAUCGUUAUCCACGUCGAAAACCGGCCUCUACUUCCGCCAAUCUCAUUUAUAUUUAUAACAAAUUCUAUUCAUCGUCACAAGAGGAACUCUCUCCCAGGAAGAUCCCAAUAAUGGAUCCGAACCCGAAAACCCACCCGAUUCUCUCUUACGUCAUGGCCCGACUUCCCUCUCUCGGACCCAAACCCCCUGACCUCUCCUUCGACAUCGAGCAACCUCCACAGCCACCACCACAACAACAACCACCACCGCUUCCCCAAUUAACUGACCCAGCCCUCCUCUCUUCUAUGAGACGCGCUGUUGGCGAUGUAGCCCAAACCCGAUCGAUACUCCAAACCCUAGGCCCCCGACCCGACCACGAAACUGUCGACGCUGCGAAACUCAAAGUAAGCGAAAUCGAGAGCAAUCUAUCGAAAGAAUUGGAGGAUCUUGUGCUUUCUCAGCGGUCGAGUGAGAUUGAUAGGUUAGAGUGGAGGGCGCAUUUGGCUGAGAAAGAAAAGAAGAUUCGAGAAGAGGCGGAGAAAGAGAGAGGGUUUUAUAAAAUGGUGUUGCAAUUGGAUGAAAUGCACGAGGAGUAUGAGAAGUUGUUGAAGGAAGCGGAGGAAAGAUUGGUGAAGAUUUAUGAGAAGGCGGAGCGAGGAGGGGAGGAAGAAGAGGAGGUGGUGGUGGAGGAGGAGGAGGAGGUGAGUGAGGAGGUCGUGGGAGUUUUGAGAGAGGGGAGUGGAAAAGGGAUGGAAAGAGUGGAUUUGUCGAAUCGGAGACUCAGAAUUUUACCUGAGGCAUUUGGGAGGGUUGUUGGCUUGAAAGUGCUUAAUCUUUCCAAUAAUCAACUUGAGGUUUUUUUUUCUUAAAUCUAAUUUUAAAUAUUGUUUAGAAAUAUAUAUCUUCUAUGUGCUGUGAAUUAAUUUUGAUUUUUAAUGUGUGAGUUGAUUGGAUAGAGUGCAGUUCUUAUAUAAUUUGUGUUGGCAAGAAGGUGGAUUAAGAGGUUUGCAUUUGUUAUCGAAAUUAAAGGAUUGGUAAUGUUAAAGGAUUUGUGCAUGUUAAAUCUGUCAUUGAAAAAAUAUAAAAAAAAUAUUGAAAUCCAGGGAAAGCUAAUUUGGUAAGGUAUCUUACUUUGGCAAUGUGUAGAAUUAAUUUGUGGGCUACUAGCUAUGCUUCUGAUAUGGGUCUGAUAUGGGUUUGUUUUAGAAUUUGAUUGAGAUUGUGACUAUGUAGCUUUUCGAAGUGUUUUUGCUUGAAAAUAUAUUAAAAUAAUUUUUUUUAAAAAAAUAUUAACAAUUUAAAAAUACAAAAAAAUAAAAUAAUAUGAAGUUCAAAAAUAGUUCAAAAAUUUUCAAAAGUGCAGUCCAACUACAGUCCAACUACAAAAACAAACACCCAGAUGAAAUUGUCUAUAUCAGUUACAUACAUGUUAUGUCAUCUCAUGGAAUUAUAUAGGUGCUUGAAGUUGCUGGCUGAUUAUUUCUUCAGUAUUUUGUUGUAGGUAAUGGAAGAUUUAUCUUGCCUGAGGUGGAUAGGAAUAAAUACUCUUUUUCACACCAUAUUAUAGGUUCUGUUAAAGUGGUUAUUUCUUAGUAUGUUACAGUUCAAAUGUCCAAACCUUUCUCAUUAAUGAUCAUACUGGUUAGAGUUUAUAGGUGUAUCUGGUGUUAGAUUUUUCCCACAUUAUUGUUUAUGAAACAUAUAAUAUGAGUGUGCGAUCUGCAAAUCUUUGAGGACCAACUGAUUUGUUAACUGCAAUAUGAAACCUCUUAUCCUUGUUUUGCUUCAUGGAUGGAUAUUUUCAUUAGGUCAUAAAAACAGUGGUGUAGGUUUGCGUGUGUGGUAGUGAAAAGUUUUUUUCUUGUUUUGGCCCCAACUUAAAUUAUGGCCAUCUUGUUAGUAUGAUCCUUUUUUUUUUUUUUUAAUGGUUAUUACUUGCCUUAUUUUUCCUAUUAACUGAGUAGCCUGUAUGAGUGAAACAGGUCAUUCCGGAUUCUAUAGCUGGGUUAGAAAUUCUCGAGGAGCUCAUUCUUGCUUCAAAUCUCUUAGAAGCAUUGCCAGAUUCAAUUGGAUUACUGCAAAACUUGAAAAUCCUGGAUGUCUCUAGCAACAAGAUAGAGAUCUUGCCUGACACCAUUUGUCAUUGCAGGUAAUUGUAAUUCAUUACAAGUUUGUCCUUUGUCCAGAAAUCCUUUACAGUGGACUUUAAUAUUCAUCAAUGGUCUAGGUCAUUGCUGGAAUUGGAUGUGAGCUUCAACCGCCUGACAUACUUGCCGACUAAUAUUGGAUAUGAAAUGUUGAAUCUUCAGAGGCUUUCGAUCCAGCUGAACAAGAUUUGUUCCCUUCCCACUUCUAUUUGUGAGAUGAGAUUUCUGUGCCACCUGGAUGCUCAUUUCAAUGAGCUUCGUGGCCUUCCUCUUGCUAUUGGGAAUCUGGCAAAUCUAGAGAUCCUCAAUUUGAGCAGUAAUUUCAGUGACCUGAAAGAACUCCCUGAAACUUUUGGUGAUUUGAUGAACCUCAAGGAACUUGAUCUUAGCAACAACCAGAUAUCAGCUCUGCCUGAUACAUUUGGUCGGCUGGAUAACUUGACCAAGCUCAACUUGGACCAAAAUCCUCUUGUAAUUCCGCCAGCAGAAGUGGUUAAGGAAGGGGUCGAGGCUGUGAAGACUUUUAUGGCUAAGAGGUGGCUUGACAUAUUGGUGGAGGAAGAAAGGAAGAGUAUGCUUGAAGUACAAGAACAGGCACAGACUGGAUGGUUGACACGCAGCACCUCUUGGUUGAAAACUUACGCAUCUGGUGUUUCCGAGACUGUUUCAGGAAUCUUAAGUCCGAGAGGUCCUAGAGAUCCUUAUCUUGAUCAACAGCUUUGACUUCCCAAUUUCCUGAUAUUUCAAGAUCCAUUUCUUCUCAACAGCAUGCACAUUUGAUAUGACUGGUGAGAUGGAUUUCUUCUGCUUUCAAUUGCUUUCAUUCUAAUGCCGUGACAAUGUCAACUAGAAUGAGUUGCAAGUCAAACAAAUUUUGUUCUUCUUCCACUCAGUCCUCUUCUGGUUUUGCCAGUUUUGCGACACAAUAAAUAGGUAGAUUCUUGGCUGUUCUGUUAUCUGAACUUAACUUUGAUUUCAGUACAUUUACAGCUGUAUAUCAAGCUGAACGACAGUUUCUUUUGCUCACUGUUAAAUUGCACGGAAUAGAGCAAUGUUUGGAAGUUGCUCACAAAUGCUACUCCACUCCCUGUUUAAGGAGGUUAUAUACAGUAAUAUUUUGGGAUGGGGUUGACUUUGGAUGAAUUGUAUUAUCUUGUUAGAGAAGUUGUUUUUUAAAUUAUUUUUUAUUUGGAAAAAAAUAAUUAGAAAAAAAAACAUUUGUUUUUGAAAAAUAUGCCGGCAGAGACAAUCGGGCGUGGACAUUUUCUUUAUCGAUACCCACUUCAUUAAAGAAGAUAAUGCCACACUGGUAUCGUCUCCAUUUAACUCGCUUAGAGGCUGUUUGGUUCUGCGGUUGAACCUGUUUUUCACCGAAUUUCAAAUUUUUUUUUUUUUUUUUUGCUAAAAUUGAGUGUGGUUUGUACUUUUUGGAUCGUUUUGAUGUGCUGAUGUCAAAAAUGAUUUUUAAAAAAUGAAAAAACAUCAUUGGCAUGUAUUUCGGCAUGAAAAGCUAUUUGAAAAGCAACCACUACCACACUGUCAAACACCCUUUUUAGAAUACAUCAUAAGCAAAAUACACAGGAGUUCGAUAACAUGACCCGACUAUUAAUAGUGUCUACUUCCUCAUCUUGUUGAUAAACACGGUGUUAUGAAAAUAUAUAACAAAAUUAUUCGAGUGUUUUUAGUAUUAUGUUAGAUAAAUCUAGAAUUGUUUAGGAAUUUAUUAUCUGAAGACAUGAUUUUCUUUGAUUUUAAAUAAUUUUUUAAAAGUUAGGUUACAAAAAGUUAGGUUGUUGUAAAUCACAAGUUGUUCAAUUGUCUAGUUUUCAACAGUAAUUUACAUGAAUCACUUGUGAGAAAUCUCCUAAACCAUGCCUAGAGUGUUAGCUUUAAUAUUGUGUUUACGUAGUUUUUCUGUCUAACAGACAAUUACUCUUAAAAUAAGAUAAGAGGCAUAGCUUACUAUUUAUAGGGAAAUUUAAAAAACCCUAUAAAUUGAUAAAAUAUCAAUUUGCCCCCUGAAUAAUAUCUAUAUAUUAAUUCAGGAUAAUUUUAGAAAUUAACUUAAUCAAGUCCUUACUUGAUUUUUCUAGGUCUAGAAACAUAAUCUUAUAUUAAUUAUAUUAUAGACCUUAAUUUCUAAAAUAUAUUUUAAUCAAGUCAUGCUUAAUUAAAUCAUCACGGUUUAAUUUAUGACUAAUGGUUUUUAAUGUGUGUGACCCAUGAAGUUUCUAACAUGUUGGCCCAAAUAUAAAUUAUAAUUCUAAUUAAAUAAAUUAAAUAAUUUAAUUUAUUACCAAUUCAACAAUUGAUUAAUUUAUUUUUAAAGACUGGGUAUAUCGUCUAACAACGUGUCAUGAUCCCCCAAAUAUUAGAAAAGUCAUGGUUUGACUUCACUUUUCAGUGUUAAGUUUCUUAGUGUAAUUAAUAUCCUUUCAUCAAUAAUGUUUUGAUUUAACAUUAAAGCAUAGAGUAUGUUUGUCAUACUAAAUUAUGUUUAUUCUUUACGUAAUAGUCAUUGAUCGUUUGAAUAAAUUUUGAAACUCUUUUCAAAUCUCAUUCUAUAUUGGUUAAGAAUUUCUCAGUCAAUACUAUUUGAGAAUAGAUAGAAUAUUUUUUUCUAAUUCACCUAUGAUGAUGAAUCAUCUCUUGAUCACUUAAGUACCUUCAUAUCAUUCAUGUUAAACCCAAUGUUUGCAUUUCGUUACCUCGAUAAAGAUAACAUGUAAUAGGAUCAAAGCAUAAUAUUCUUUCUAUAAGAUUACUUAGUGAUUUCAAGUCUAAGUAUCACCUCCACAACCAUCACGUGAGCCUUGUCAUAAAUAUAAGUGAUAUCUUCAUAUAAAAUUCUCAUGCAAGUUAGUUCAGUGUACAUGUCUUAUGAUAAGCACCUACAUAUUAGUUAUAGGUAUCUCUUGUACCUCAGCUUAUGAGAACAAUUGCUUCCUUUCAUAAAGGAAAUAACAUAACAUGCAUCAGUCUUUACGGUUUUAAUGAAUAUCCAGUAUUUAAGAGAGCAUUAACCCAUAAUAUUUUAGAAACAAUGUUUUGAUGCAAUACGAAUCUUAUAAUUAUAAUAAUUUUAUAAUUUUCUAUGCAAAACAUUUUUGUCUCAUGAACUUUAUCUUUACUCUAGAUUUAUUAAUAUAAUAUUAUAUAAAUAUUAAAAAUAAAUUAAGCUUUUAUUAAUAACAAAUAUGUAUUUACAUGAAUAUAAUAAUGUCAUGUGUCUAACUUUGUCUUUAAACUACCAAUGACUGGUUGUUCGAGUAAAUCAUUGAAGAUGUUUCGUUCCCAGUCUGACAACUGGCAUCAUCAUCUCGAAGAUAGUUAUAGAAAAUUGUAUGCCCAUUGCCCAUGAUAGGCGGUGUACAUACUAUUUUAUAGUUACAUGUGAUGGAGAGUGUGAUCCACAUCUAAUUUAAUAUUAAGUCAUCCCUAAACAUUUCUGAUCAAACAAAUUUUUAUCAGUAUAUCUUUACCAAGAAAUAUCGGAUCAAAAAAGAUUUACGAAUAUAAAUUUUCUGAAACAAAAACACACCCUAGUGAAGGCGUGCUGGUUUGGCACUAACCAGACCCAACAAUGAUUGGGCUUGGCAGUGUGCCAAACUUCGGCCACGCCCAAGAAAAUGAGCAUCUUCUCCUGGGCAAGCCCAAAAGAAUGAUCACACCCUUAAUUGGCAUGUCUAAGGGAAUAAACAUCCUCCCUUGACACACCUAAAAAAAUGAACAUCUUCUAUUGGGACGCCCAAGGGAAUGACCACAUUCUCCCUUGGGCAUGCCUAAAGAAAUGAACAUUCUCUAUUGGGACACCCAAGAGAAUGAUCAAAUCCUUCCUUGGACACGUCUAAGGAAACGACCAUUCUUCAUUGGGGUUUGCCCAAGGGAAUGACCACAUCCUCUCUUAGGUACGCCUAAGGGAAUGACCAUCCUUCCUAGGCAUGUACAAGGGAAUGACCACAUCCUCUUAAGGCACACCCACCAUCCUCCCUUGGCACGCCCAUCAUCCUCCCUAGGGCAUGUCCAAGGGGAUGACCCUCCUCUCUUGGGUCUAGCAUAGGGAAAGAGGUCGGCUUUCAUGGGCUCAGCUACAUUUGACGUCUUGGACCCUAAUCUCCUUACACUUUUUAGGUGUAUAAAAGUCCUUCAGGGACCCACCAUAUAUUCAUCAAACAUUAAUAUAGAUGUAAGGGGUAUUUAUACCUCAUCAAAUGCUAUCAGGGUAAAAUUAUACUGCAUACCCUUUUCUUCACAAAAGAACAAAACUCAUAAGCUAUAAAUAUACUAUGAGACUUUCAGAAUAGAGGUUUACAAUCUUCAUUCUCUACUGUAUAUAUAUUUUCAGAGCAUCUCUCUCUAGAAUAUUCUUGUAUUUUUCUCUAUCUAAAAAGAUACUUAUUUGAGCAUCGGAGAGUCACAACAUCCAUCAAAAAAGAUCUUUUGCAUGUAUUAGCCACAAACUAUUUUGGCCUACCAAGCACUUAUUAUAAAUGUAUCAACCUUCUUGGCUAGGGAGAAUGAAUGAAAUUACUAGAACCAAUAGAUUAACCAAUCAUCCAACCCGAGAACUCUAUUCCUAAACUAUUUGGAUUUUUUAGACUUUAUUAUAUAUAAUACAAUCCUAUAAUGCCAGGGAUAGUUAUUGCCUUUGAUUUUCUCCAAUCCUGAUAUUCCAUGCAUUUAAGGGUCUUGUAUCUCUAUCACUGUACAUUACUGUUGUCUGAUGAUAUACCUUACUGACAUAUGAUAAAAAAAAAAGAUGGUAAAAUUUACACAACUAUAGAAUCGUAAAUAUACUCAUGAAUUUACACAAAUUUCCUUUCUCCAUUUACGUUUAUUUUUAGUUUCUUCCUCGAAAUUUAUUGAUUUACCCGGAAUUCUAUCAAUUUAAUUUUUACUACAUCAAGAGUUACGAAGGUAAUGAAAAGUAAAACGAAAGACACGUUAUGGUGUGAAUUCAUGUUUAUAUUUUCAAUUAUCAGAGACUAUUGUUCAGAUUCAAGUAGGCCAAGCUGAACAGAGAAGACUACUCAGAUGCAUGCAUUUUACUUGCUGAGUAAAUGAUUAUAAUGGUGAUAAUAAUAAUAAUGGAAGGCACAUCAAAUUUAUUAAGAGAGGUUUCCGUGUGUUCCCAAGGAUAUAGACAUUUAACAUUUCUUGUAAAGAUGAAUGGUAGAGUUAUUAUUAUUUUUAAUUAAUAUGGUGUUCGGGUCAGCUUGUGUGCAUCUCGACUAAUUUCACGAGCCCUGAGGUUUGUGAGAUUCGAACUGGUAAUCUCUAGAGAACAAAUCUAAAGUCUAACUAGUUAAAUUACACCCAUUAUAAUUAAAUUGUAGAGUAAAUUAAACAUUGGAUAAGAAAUUUUAACGGUAAAAUAACCCAUUUAGCUAGGUAAAUUAAUUUUCAUAUUUAAAUUUAUCUGCUGAUAUUUUAAAAAAUAAAAAAAAUUAUUAUUAUUUUAAUAUAAAUUCAAAUUAAAGAUCAUAUAAAAAUAAAUUACAAAUCAAAAUCAGAAAGGUUACCUUGCAAAACCGGCGCAGGAAAACAGACAUGCAUGGGCUCCCAUGCUUUCCAAUCCCUUUCGACUUUUCAAUCCAUCAAGACAUUUCUCAUCAAUCAGAAAUAACCCUUCAAGAAACUGUCCUUUUCCUCUCUUUUUUGCCGAUGGUUUUUUUGGAAGAAGACGAAGCAGACAUUGGACAUAUGGCCAUCUCCUUCAUGUUUUCUUUUUUUUUUUCUUAACAUCUUGGACACUAGGAGACCCACAACACUAGUAGUAGACCCAGCUGGUCUGCUUUUUCCGCUAGGCCUUUUUUAGUUUAGGGUGUUUGUUAUUAAGUAGAUUUUAAAUGUUUUUUUUUUAUCAAAAUUAUUUAAAAAAUAAUUUAAUAAUUCAAUACUAAGCUUUUUCCUCUUAUGCUUGUUGCCAGGGCGGAGUUAUGAUUAUUUGUUAGGAGGAUCAAAGUUAAUAUAACAAGAUAUAAUAUUUGUUUUAAUUUAUUGCACAUGAGUUGUAAAACAAAACCUGUAUAAUUUAGUUUUAUUCAAGUAAUUUACUACAAACAUAUAAGACCUUUAUAUAAGGUAAAAUGUUUGGAGCAAUACCAAAUUGAGUCAAAGUAAUAAAGUUAAUUUUAUUUUCAUAAUGUAUCCAUCACUUUAAUGUUGGUGGUCUUUAUACUUAUUAAAUAUAAACAUACAAAGUAUAUAAGAAACACUAGCUAAAGCAAAGCAUUAUUUAUGUUUGAUAAACUUUGAAAUAAAGCAAAAAAUAAUAAAGAAUGAUUCUUACAUAUUUAUUUUAAUUGUGCUCAUCGUUCUUUCAUAGAAUAAAAAUCAUCGAUUAUCAUAUCAAUUAUGAAUCUUUCAGCAUUUUUUUUUUCUAUAUAAACAAUCAAAUAAUUUGCAAGAAAAUCAUUCUCCAUCCGAUUGCAAAUUUUUUUUUAACAAUCUUCAUCACUGAAAAAGCUCGUUCAGUAGGUUGUGAGUUAUCAAUAAUUUUUUUUCAAAAAAAAUCAAUUCUUCUUAUUUUGUUCAUGGUUUAACCUAAAAUCAAAAUAUAUAUCGUAAGAAAAAAUUGAUAACUCACAAACCAAUAAAAUAUAUCUAAUUAAUUAGAAAAAAAAUCAUUAUAACAAGAAUUCAAAAAACAAUUGGUAGAACUAGCAAAUCCGAGAAAAAAAAGAGAGCAAAAAUGAUAGGAUUAUAAAAAAAACCACAUUAAAUUAUUAACAUCUCAAAAUAAAAAAAAUUAGAUUUUAAAUUUAAGCUAUCUUGUUUUGUUUGAUAAAAGAUAAAUUAAUUAGUGGCUCUGCUUUAAUUUUUUUGUAAAAAUAUUUUACUCGUGAUUUGUGUUUUUAUUUUUGUUUUUGAUCGACUGCAGAAUUUAUAUUAGAGUAAAUUGGUGGUUCUAUUUUUUAUUUUACAAAAUAAUACCUUUAUAUUUUUUUUUCUUUUUCACAUGGUCAAGAAUAAAUUCAAAAGAAAUCAAAAGUAAAAUCACACUUAAUUUAAAAGCCACCUCUUUAAAAUAAAAAAAUAUAACAUCUCCUCACACUUAAUUAUCCAAUAAUACCCGGUAAUUAAAUAAAAUAAAAUGCCUUGCAGGAGGGGGGCGGCGGCGCAAUUCUGAUGCUUUUUUGCAGGAAGAGGCGCAGGACACUCGUUCAACAAGGGAGGAAAAUCAGUGCUGAUGUUGUUAGAUAUUGAUUAGUAGAAUGUUUAGAGUUUUUUUAAUUGAAUUGAAUUCAGAUGUUUUAAUGAAAUUUUAUGUUUGUAAUUAUUUUUUUAAUAUUAAAAAUGAAAUUUAAUAUUUAAAAAUAUUACAAGAAUAAAUAAAAAAUAACCCGAUUAAUCAAAGAAAAGAGUUUAAUAUUAAAAUUAACCAUAAAAAUUGUGAUACGGCCAUUGAGAAACCAAUCACGUUGUGACGGGAAAUUGAAAUAUUUGAAAGAAUUUCUGUAUUUCUUUUGUGGGUUUAUUUUUUUAUUUAUUUUUAAUUUGUAAAUCAAUGUCUUGAUAGAUAAUCUUUAUUUUUGUUGUGUUUUUUAAAUGCAUUUAUAUUAAAUUGAUAUUUUUAAUGAUAUUAAUAUUCUAAUAUCAAAAAUUAUUUUAAUAUAUGUAUUUUUUUAAAAUAAUGUAAAACACAUCAAAGAAUCAAUUUCGUAGCAUUAAUUAACUCAAUUAAUACCACACCUAAUUAGGCGAUUUUUUCCAAGUCUCCGCUUAUCUCAAUUGGAACUCGGCAACUAUACAACCAAUAAGAUGCACCCACGUAAGUAUCCUCAAAUUACAACAAUAUUUUCUUGAGGUUCCUUACUCACAAAGGUUCUCCUUUUCUUUCUGAAAAAGAAACCAAAAAAAAAAUUAUAUUUGUAACUUAUUCCAUAAGCCAAAAAAGGAUAUAAAUAUUAACACAAAGAAUGAGGCACUAAGCUUAUUUCAGUAAAAUCGAGUACUUCUUUUACUUUCCACGCACAAGCGGCUAACAGGAACGCUUGGUAGUGAUUCUUCAUAUCCUCUCUCCGAUUUUUAUUCCUUUACAAAUUCUGAACAAUUCUUCCUCUCCCCUAAAAACUUACUUCGAUAAUAAUAUAUGAUUUGGGUUUCUUAGGGUCUCUGUUUUCUUCUUCGGUUUUUCUCUUACUGCGCGGCUUACUGGAACGCGAUGGAUUCUACUAUGGUCAUCAAGGUUUGUUUUAUUCAGUGUUUUUGUUGUUGGGUUGUUGGUUCUUUUUGGGUUUGUUGAGUAAAUAUGAAAGAAGUUUGGAAAUUGGGGUUUUGUGUUUUGUUCUUUCGAACAAUUUGAUUUAUAUACAGUGGUUUAUUGCUUCAGUUGUACCUUCUAAGGGAAAGGAUUGAUCUUUUUUCUGUUUGGUUUAUCGUUUGAUUUUAGUAGUGUUUGUUCGAGGGUUAUUGAUUUUUUUGUCGGUUUGUUGGGUCAAACAUGAGAAACUUGGAAUUUGCUGUUUCAUAUCUUGGUCCUUUUAUAACAAUCUUGGUUUAUAUAUUGUGAUGUAAUGCUCCAAUGAGAUAAAUACUUUUAUGUGUGUUUUUAUGAGCUGUGUUGUUUUUUAUUUUUUCCUUUGUUUUGAGAGUAGGAUUCGAUCAAGGGUUUUUCUUCUUCUUCUUCUUUUCAUGAUAUGGUUGUUAUUUUGUUCAGACUAGGGUUUAAUGAGGGGCAUAAAUCUGACGGGCUUACUUUUGAAAGAUUUUUUAGCAGCUUGAACUUUGGCCUUGGUUGUACAAGGAAUCUUCUUUGGAUUUUUUAUUCAGUUUUCCUUUUUUUUUUUUUGUAAAUAUACCUUGUCAAUGGUGCAAUUUUUGUUGGUCUCAAACUCGUGAAGAUUAUCUGUGUUGAUGUUAUAAAGGAUAUGAAGACCAAUUGACCGCAAAAAUUUGUAUAUUAUCUCAUCUUUGUUGAGGAUUAAAAGGUUUAUGCUGAAUUAUGGAGAAACUAUUUGAUUUGUCUUUUAAAUUCUUUUGACAAACAAAUGGAAUUAUAUGUUACUCUGCAAGUCUUCGUGUUUUUUUAUAUUCCAUAUUGUCUCCCCUCUUUACUUAUUUAUGUUUUCUGGUGUGGACACAGGUUAAAUAUGGUGAUACGCUUAGGCGUUUUAAUGCUCAUGUGAAGGAGAAUGAGCAACUCGAUCUUGACAUGACUGCACUGAGGGCAAAAAUCCUCCGUCUUUUUAAUUUUCCUGCUGACUGUGAUCUCGCUUUAACUUAUAUUGAUGAAGACGGGGAUGUGGUAACACUUGCUGAUGAUGAUGAUCUACGUGAUGUGAUGAGGCAAAACUUGAAAUUUUUGAGGAUUGAUGUACAGCUUAAUAAUGACAAGUUCGGUAAAUCUUAUGCCAGAUCUAGUGGUAGUUCCACCCCUAUGAGGUCCCCUCGAGUCCAGAGUCCAUUGCCAUGUCUCAACAAUGGUGUUGCUGAAGUUUUGAAAUCUGUGCCUGAGCCCCUACGAGGCAUACUUUCCAAGAUAUCUCAUGACCUGGCUUCAAAAGCUGUGGCAUCCAAUGCAGUGCGUACUGAGCUUGUUGACUGCUUUUCAAAGAUGGGGCAAUCCCAUUUGAACCCAGCCCCCCAGUCUGAAGAUGGUGCAGGUUCAAGUGUCCAAACUGGAGCUGCUGUUCCUACAGUUGUUAAUGCAUCCAAGGAUAUGGGUAUGCUAGAAGACUUGCCAAAGUCAAACUCACCUUUCAAAACCAGCCAGGAAGAGAGCUUUGAAAAUGUUACCAGGACUUCAGCGGGACCACACACAGCUGUCUCUGCUCCUGUUAAUCUGAAUCGGAACCCUCAAGCUUCCAAUCCAUCUGCACAUUGUGCUCCCCUUGCAUCAUUUGUC
rnacentral:lncRNA from 1 species